UUCAGAUGUGAAAGACCCGGGGCGUCAACCUCCGGAAUAGCAUUUGAAACUAGGCAGACUAGAGUACUGUAGAGGGGGUAGGGAAGUUUCUAGGUGUAGCGGUGAAAUAGCGUAGAGAUCUGAAGGAAUACCGGUGGCGAAGGCGGCCCCCUCGGACAGAUACUGACACUCAGAUGCGAAAGCGUGGGGAGCAAACAGGAUUAGAUACCCUGGUAG
rnacentral:rRNA from 1 species